AUAUAUAUAAAUAAUAUAUAUAAUUAUACACUAUUAAUGGACUUAAAAGUGUUUACUUCACCUAAUUUUCAAACAACGAAUUAUUGACCCACAAUUAUUCCACAAUGCUCUGUACAUUCCAGAAGUCCUCAUUACUAAAAAUUGUGUGACGUAAACACUUCUCAGGUCUAUGUAUUAACAGUAAAUAAUAAAUAUAUCUGUACCACUGACUGCAUCUUUAAUCUUGCUAUCCUUCCACUGGUAAACAUAUGGAGAGCAUUGGUAAAAACAUUCCU